CGGUUAAAUUCAAACGGGAUGGAACAAAAGAAAAACAAAGGUUUGCAGUCUCACAAACAAUAAAAAAUUAACACAUCCAUUCGACCGUUAUUAAUAACUGAAGAGGGAAAAACAACAGCAAAGAAAAUGGGGAAACAAGUAUUUUGAGAAAGCCAAAGAAUAUAAAAUAAUUUCGAAGUGCCCAAGUGCAGUCUUGAAACGCAAAGUCAGCGAAAUAAGUUAAAAUAGAACAAAUUGAAUGAAAAGAAAGCGAAACACAGGGUAUAUUAACGCCGUUACGAAAAUGGAGUGACAACAACGUGAUUUAAUUACACCACCUGAUUACAGCAAUAUAAUGGCAUGGUCGCGUGCAAUUUGGUGUUUAAGGAAAUUAUUACCGGCAUCGCCAAGUCAGAGGACACAGUUAAUGGCUUCGUAUUUGAAAACAAAAUCGCCCACAGUACAAAAUCUUCGAGAUGUUUUUCAGUGCAACAGCGACGAAUCUCUAUCAACCAGUGUGCUUUCUGAUAUAAAAUCAGCAUUAAACAAAACAAAAAUAACGCAGAUCCGAUUAAAACAUUCAAAGUAGAAAUGUUUUAAUUCUGCAAUUAGUUUGUUUGCUACAAACUGUAAAAGCAAAUGUUAAAGUCUCUAUUCCCAAAAAUGAUCACGAACGUGUUUUGUCAUUGAUCGAAGAGUGCGAUGAAAAUUAUGCUACAUAGUAAUUCCUCAUGGCUAUGCUUUAUAGCAUAUACUAAUUAUACUCAUGACAUAAUUGAGUGUAAAGUUAACGAUAACUACAAAAAUGUAUAAAUAAAGUAUUUUAUUAAUACACUUUAGAAGAA